AUGAACGCUGGCGGCGUGCCUAAUACAUGCAAGUCGAGCGAACAGACGAGGAGCUUGCUCCUCUGACGUUAGCGGCGGACGGGUGAGUAACACGUGGAUAACCUACCUAUAAGACUGGGAUAACUUCGGGAACCCGGAGCUAAUACCGGAUAAUAUAUUGAACCGCAUGGUUCAAUAGUGAAAGACGGUUUUGCUGUCACUUAUAGAUGGAUCCGCGCCGCAUUAGCUAGUUAGUAAGGUAACGGCUUACCAAGGCAACGAUGCGUAGCCCACCUGAGAGGGUGAUCGGCCGCACUGGAGCUGAGACACGGUCCAGACUCCUGCGGGAGGCAGCAGUAGGGAAUCUUCCGCAAUGGGCGAAAGCCUUACGGAGCAACGCCGCGUGAGUGAUGAAGGUCUUCGGAUCGUAAUACUCUGUUAUUAGUGAAGAACAAAUGUGUAAGUAACUAUGCACGUCUUGACGGUACCUAAUCAGAAAGCCACGGCUAACUACGUG
rnacentral:rRNA from 1 species